rnacentral:rRNA from 1 species
CCUACGGGGGACAGCAGUGAGGAAUAUUGGUCAAUGGGCGCAAGCCUGAACCAGCCAAGUCGCGUGCGGGAUGACGGCCCUAUGGGUUGUAAACUUCUUUUGUCCGGGAGUAACUCGCGUUACGUGUGGGGCUUUGCAUGUACCCUAUGAAUAAGGACCGGCUAACUCCGUGCCAGCAGCCGCGGUAAUACGGAAGGUCCGGGCGUUAUCCGGAUUUAUUGGGUUUAAAGGGUGCGUAGGCGGGAUGUCAAGCUUGCUGUGAAAUGUCGGGGCUCAACCCGGGCCGUGCCGUGGGAACUGGCGGGCUGGAGUGAGCGGAAAGUAGGCGGAAUGCGGGGUGUAGCGGUGAAAUGCAGAGAUAUGACGAAGAACUCCGAUUGCGAAGGCAGCUUGCCGGAGCGGAACUGACGCUGAUGCACGAAAGUGCGGGUAUCGAACAGGAUUAGAUACCCGUGUAGUC